rnacentral:siRNA from 1 species
GCGGAUUACGGUGGCAGCCUAAG